AGUCUUUUUAGCUUGAUUUUUGUUAUAACGUUGAAAAGGUGGUUAAAAAGGGUUUGCGAUUUUUGUAGAAAUUGUAGUCGAGGAGUGUUGCAAACGUGCAGUGUAGUGCGUUUAGACGCGAAUAAUGUUUAGAGAAAGUGUUAAAUAUUGUAAAAGCUAUUAAGUCUUGUUCUGCAAAAGCGGAAGUGGCUCAGGAAACAGAAGUAGGCCGGCCGGGCAACCAAGAGCUAGUUUUUUAGCUAUAUUCCGGUAGGCCUUGUGUGUUUGGUGGGAGUGGUGGAAACUAUAGAGUAAUCCAUAUUUGACAUGGAUCACCUUCCAAAAACUCCCACCAUACUCUACACCGCCAGUAGAAGGAAGUCAACUAAGCCACGGCAUAAAAAUGAAGUGCAGUGCAAUGUGUUUGAAGAUGAAGAACUGGAGGAGACUUGCUUUACGGUAAGACUCUGGAGAAUGUAACUGUUACAUAGGUAUAGUCAUUUUUAACGGUGGUCAG